rnacentral:rRNA from 1 species
GGGAUAACUCCGGGAAACCGGGGCUAAUACCGGAUGCUUGAUUGAACCGCAUGGUUCAAUCAUAAAAGGUGGCUUUUAGCUACCACUUGCAGAUGGACCCGCGGCGCAUUAGCUAGUUGGUGAGGUAACGGCUCACCAAGGCGACGAUGCGUAGCCGACCUGAGAGGGUGAUCGGCCACACUGGGACUGAGACACGGCCCAGACUCCUACGGGAGGCAGCAGUAGGGAAUCUUCCGCAAUGGACGAAAGUCUGACGGAGCAACGCCGCGUGAGUGAUGAAGGUUUUCGGAUCGUAAAACUCUGUUGUUAGGGAAGAACAAGUACCGUUCGAAUAGGGCGGCACCUUGACGGUACCUAACCAGAAAGCCACGGCUAACUACGUGCCAGCAGCCGCGGUAAUACGUAGGUGGCAAGCGUUGUCCGGAAUUAUUGGGCGUAAAGCGCGCGCAGGCGGUUUCUUAAGUCUGAUGUGAAAGCCCCCGGCUCAACCGGGGAGGGUCAUUGGAAACUGGGGAACUUGAGUGCAGAAGAGGAGAGUGGAAUUCCACGUGUAGCGGUGAAAUGCGUAGAGAUGUGGAGGAACACCAGUGGCGAAGGCGACUCUCUGGUCUGUAACUGACGCUGAGGCGCGAAAGCGUGGGGAGCGAACAGGAUUAGAUACCCUGGUAGUCCACGCCGUAAACGAUGAGUGCUAAGUGUUAGAGGGUUUCCGCCCUUUAGUGCUGCAGCAAACGCAUUAAGCACUCCGCCUGGGGAGUACGGUCGCAAGACUGAAACUCAAAGGAAUUGACGGGGGCCCGCACAAGCGGUGGAGCAUGUGGUUUAAUUCGAAGCAACGCGAAGAACCUUACCAGGUCUUGACAUCCUCUGACAACCCUAGAGAUAGGGCUUCCCCUUCCGGGGCAGAGUGACAGGUGUUUCAUGGUUGUCGUCAGCUCCUGUCCUGAGAUGUUGGGUUAAGUCCCGCAACCACCGCAACCCUUGAUCUUAGUUGCCACCAUUCAAUUGGCCCUCUAAGGUAACUGCCCGUGACAACCCGGACGAAAGUAGGGGAUGAGGUCGAAUCAUCAUGCCCCUUAUGACCUGGCCUACACCGUGCU